AGGACGAACGCUGGCGGCGUGCUUAACACAUGCAAGUCGAGCGGAAAGGCCCUUCGGGGUACUCGAGCGGCGAACGGGUGAGUAACACGUGAGCAACCUGCCCCUAGCUCUGGGAUAGCUCCGGGAAACCGGGAUUAAUACCAGAUACGACCACUUUAGACAUCUGCUGUGGUGGAAAGGAUUCCGGCUAGGGAUGGGCUCGCGGCCUAUCAGCUUGUUGGUGGAGUAACGGCCCACCAAGGCGACGACGGGUAGCCGGCCUGAGAGGGCGACCGGCCACACUGGGACUGAGACACGGCCCAGACUCCUACGGGAGGCAGCAGUGGGGAAUAUUGCGCAAUGGGCGAAAGCCUGACGCAGCGACGCCGCGUGGGGGAUGAAGGCCUUCGGGUUGUAACCCCUUUCAGCAGGGACGAAGCGAAAGUGACGGUACCUGCAGAAGAAGCGCCGGCUAACUACGUGCCAGCAGCCGC
rnacentral:rRNA from 1 species